AAGUCGUAACAAGGUUUCCCGUAGGUGAACCCUGCGGAAGGAUCAUUAAAGAAUGCCCCGUUUUUUGAAAUGGGUUCUGUUCCCAAACCGUGUAUACAUACUUUUGUUGCUUUGGCAGGCCGCCUUCGGGCGUCGGCUCACGCUGACAGCGCCUGCCAGAGGACCCAAACUCGUUUGUUUAGUGAUGUCUGAGUACUAUAUAAUAGUUAAAACUUUCAACAACGGAUCUCUUGGUUCUGGCAUCGAUGAAGAACGCAGCGAAAUGCGAUAAGUAAUGUGAAUUGCAGAAUUCAGUGAAUCAUCGAAUCUUUGAACGCACCUUGCGCCCUUUGGUAUUCCGAAGGGCAUGCCUGUUUGAGUGUCAUUAAAUUUAUCAACCUUGCUUGCUUUUACUAGCUCGCUUGGCUUGGAUGUGGGGGUUUGCUGGCUUCCUUCAGUGGAUGGUCUGCUCCCCUUAAAUGCAUUAGUGGGAUCUCUUGUGGACCGUCACUUGGUGUGAUAAUUAUCUAUGCCAUAUGACUUUGAAGCAAAUUUUAUGAGAACCUGCUUAUAACCGUCUCUCGCAGCAAUGCGGAUUGGGGGUCUGAGUCCUUUAUUUGGGCACUUCCCUUGUCGGACAACUUUUUUAACAUUUUGACCUCAAAUCAGGUAGGACUACCCGCUGAACUUAA
rnacentral:rRNA from 1 species